GCCUUGGUGGUGUAGUGGUAUAGCACGUAUCUCCGGAAAGGAAGAACUGCGGGUUCGAUUCCCGUUGAGGCCA